rnacentral:lncRNA from 1 species
AGCAUUUUGAUAAUAGUUUAUGUUUACAGUAGAAAAUAAUUUGUAUUUCACUGUGCUUUUGUUCUAUAGAACCUGAAGAUGAAUUAUGAAAGGGUGUGACAAGUAUCAGUAAUGCAGGAAGACGCAGAGAUAGAGCACAAGAAGAGUAGUGAAAAGAGAGAGCUACUAAAUAAGGAGCAAAUUAUUGGCAUGGGAAAAAUUCCGAUACAAUUUCCUGGUCUGAACACUUCUGUGUUUAGAGGAAAAGAAUUAAUUCAACAGCUAAAACUGCUUGUAAAUCUUGAAAAAAAGCAAAAACUUAUGGAAUUACCACAAAGUCAGACCAGACCAAUGUAAAUAAAAUUAUCACCAUUGGAAUGUGGUUGGAGGAGUGUUACAAUGAAUGGCAGAAGCAUUAAAUCAGAUCUUAUUGGAAAAGAUAUAUUUGAAAGUUUUGAAACCUGGAUUUUGAAAACAAAAUGAUAACUUGUAUGACCAGUAAUUUAGCACGUAAAACUAGAAUCAAUUCAUUUAUAGUAACUGGGAAUGGAAAUGGAUUGGCUGGAUUUGCGUUAUCAAAAGCCAAAGCAUUCCUAAAGACGAUUAAAAAUAGGGCUGGUCAAAGAUUAAUGUAUAUUCCAACAUAUAAGGAACAUACUGUUUUUGUUACAUGAUUUCUUUACACAGUUUGAGAAUAUAAAAAUAUUUGUAAAGAAAAUUCAUGAAUGAUAAUGGGCUUGUUUGUCAUCAUGUGAUAAAAGCAUGUUGUGAGAUAAUUGGCAUAAAGGAUAUGUAUGCCACAGUACAAGGAGGAAUGUAAAAGCAUUCUUUAUUGAUUUAUUGCAAUAGGUGUAAAUAUAAAGUA